rnacentral:rRNA from 1 species
AUGGGAGCUUGCUCCCUGAUGUUAGCGGCGGACGGGUGAGUAACACGUGGGUAACCUGCCUGUAAGACUGGGAUAACUCCGGGAAACCGGGGCUAAUACCGGAUGGUUGUUUGAACCGCAUGGUUCAAACAUAAAAGGUGGCUUCGGCUACCACUUACAGAUGGACCCGCGGCGCAUUAGCUAGUUGGUGAGGUAACGGCUCACCAAGGCAACGAUGCGUAGCCGACCUGAGAGGGUGAUCGGCCACACUGGGACUGAGACACGGCCCAGACUCCUACGGGAGGCAGCAGUAGGGAAUCUUCCGCAAUGGACGAAAGUCUGACGGAGCAACGCCGCGUGAGUGAUGAAGGUUUUCGGAUCGUAAAGCUCUGUUGUUAGGGAAGAACAAGUACCGUUCGAAUAGGGCGGUACCUUGACGGUACCUAACCAGAAAGCCACGGCUAACUACGUGCCAGCAGCCGCGGUAAUACGUAGGUGGCAAGCGUUGUCCGGAAUUAUUGGGCGUAAAGGGCUCGCAGGCGGUUUCUUAAGUCUGAUGUGAAAGCCCCCGGCUCAACCGGGGAGGGUCAUUGGAAACUGGGGAACUUGAGUGCAGAAGAGGAGAGUGGAAUUCCACGUGUAGCGGUGAAAUGCGUAGAGAUGUGGAGGAACACCAGUGGCGAAGGCGACUCUCUGGUCUGUAACUGACGCUGAGGAGCGAAAGCGUGGGGAGCGAACAGGAUUAUAUACCCUGGUACUCCACGCCGUAAACGAUGAGUGCUAAGUGUUAGGGGGUUUCGCCCCUUAGUGCUGCAGCUAACGCAUUAAGCACUCCGCCUGGG